rnacentral:misc_RNA from 1 species
GAUGAAGAACGCAGCGAAAUGCGAUACUUGGUGUGAAUUGCAGAAUCCCGUGAACCAUCGAGUCUUUGAACGCAAGUUGCGCCCGAAGCCAUUAGGCCGAGGGCACGCCUGCCUGGGCGUCACACGUCGUUGCCCCCCCAUCUACUCCUUCGGGAUUGCGGGGGGCGAAUGAUGGCCUCCCGUGCGCCUCGUCGCGCGGUUGGCAUAAAUGCCAAGUCCUCGGCGACGCACGCCACGACAAUCGGUGGUUGCGAAACCUCGGUUGCCCGUCGUGUGCGGUCGUCGCGCAUCGAGGGCUCGAAAAAAUUGCCGGGCUCCGGCUCGGCUUUCAACGCGACCCCAGGUCAGGCGGGGUUACCCGCUGAAUUUAAGCAUAUCAAUAAGCGGAGGA